rnacentral:rRNA from 1 species
GAUGAACGCUGGCGGCGUGCCUAAUACAUGCAAGUCGAGCGAACGGACGAGAAGCUUGCUUCUCUGAUGUUAGCGGCGGACGGGUGAGUAACACGUGGAUAACCUACCUAUAAGACUGGGAUAACUUCGGGAAACCGGAGCUAAUACCGGAUAAUAUUUUGAACCGCAUGGUUCAAAAGUGAAAGACGGUCUUGCUGUCACUUAUAGAUGGAUCCGCGCUGCAUUAGCUAGUUGGUAAGGUAACGGCUUACCAAGGCAACGAUGCAUAGCCGACCUGAGAGGGUGAUCGGCCACACUGGAACUGAGACACGGUCCAGACUCCUACGGGAGGCAGCAGUAGGGAAUCUUCCGCAAUGGGCGAAAGCCUGACGGAGCAACGCCGCGUGAGUGAUGAAGGUCUUCGGAUCGUAAAACUCUGUUAUUAGGGAAGAACAUAUGUGUAAGUAACUGUGCACAUCUUGACGGUACCUAAUCAGAAAGCCACAGCUAACUACGUGCCAGCAGCCGCGGUAAUACGUAGGUGGCAAGCGUUAUCCGGAAUUAUUGGGCGUAAAGCGCGCGUAGGCGGUUUUUUAAGUCUGAUGUGAAAGCCCACGGCUCAACCGUGGAGGGUCAUUGGAAACUGGAAAACUUGAGUGCAGAAGAGGAAAGUGGAAUUCCAUGUGUAGCGGUGAAAUGCGCAGAGAUAUGGAGGAACACCAGUGGCGAAGGCGACUUUCUGGUCUGUAACUGACGCUGAUGUGCGAAAGCGUGGGGAUCAAACAGGAUUAGAUACCCUGGUAGUCCACGCCGUAAACGAUGAGUGCUAAGUGUUAGGGGGUUUCCGCCCCUUAGUGCUGCAGCUAACGCAUUAAGCACUCCGCCUGGGGAGUACGACCGCAAGGUUGAAACUCAAAGGAAUUGACGGGGACCCGCACAAGCGGUGGAGCAUGUGGUUUAAUUCGAAGCAACGCGAAGAACCUUACCAAAUCUUGACAUCCUUUGACAACUCUAGAGAUAGAGCUUUCCCCUUCGGGGGACAAAGUGACAGGUGGUGCAUGGUUGUCGUCAGCUCGUGUCGUGAGAUGUUGGGUUAAGUCCCGCAACGAGCGCAACCCUUAAACUUAGUUGCCAUCAUUAAGUUGGGCACUCUAAGUUGACUGCCGGUGACAAACCGGAGGAAGGUGGGGAUGACGUCAAAUCAUCAUGCCCCUUAUGAUUUGGGCUACACACGUGCUACAAUGGACAAUACAAAGGGCAGCGAAACCGCGAGGUCAAGCAAAUCCCAUAAAGUUGUUCUCAGUUCGGAUUGUAGUCUGCAACUCGACUACAUGAAGCUGGAAUCGCUAGUAAUCGUAGAUCAGCAUGCUACGGUGAAUACGUUCCCGGGUCU